AGAGGGUGCGAGCGUUAAUCGGAAUGACUGGGCGUAAAGGGCGCGUAGGUGGUUAUAUAAGAGAGAUGUAAAAGUCCCGGGCUUAACCUGGGAAGGCCAUCUGAGACUGUAUGACUAGAGAGCAGUAGAGGUAAGAGGAAUUUCCGGUGUAGCGGUGAAAUGCGUAGAGAUCGGAAGGAACACCAGAGGCGAAGGCGACUUACUGGACUGCAUCUGACACUGAGGCGCGAAAGCGUGGGGUAGCGAACAGGAUUAGAUACCCUGGUAGUCCACGCCGUAAACGAUGAGAACUAGCCCGUUGGUUUCGUAAAGGAAUCAGUGGCGCAGCUAACGCAUUAAGUUCUCCGCCCUGGGAGUACGGCCGCAAGGUUA
rnacentral:rRNA from 1 species